AGACCCCGGGAAGACUCUAGAUAAGUCUGACAAACCUAACAAAAAAGGAAUAAAAACAUUUGUCACGCACAUGCGUCGGCGGCACCACAGCUGGCCACCGUCACAAGGCGGAGAAAUCCACUCGGUGCCUUUCUUCUUCCACCUUCUGCCUUCUUCAUCAGAUUCAACUUUCCCUUUUGGAGGUUGGUUUUUUUGGUAGCUGGGAUUUUGCAGGAAAAUAAAGGAAUGGAAAAUGGUUCAGAGAGGAAGGUGGAGGGGAAAAGAGAGGAGAAAAUGAGGUUUUGUGUGACUGGUGCAACCGGGUAUAUCGGAUCUUGGCUUGUCAACACUCUCCUUCAAAGAGGCUACAUGGUUCAUGCCACUCUCCGUGAUCCUGAGAAGGCUGCACAUCUUUUACCCUUAUGGAGCGGCUGUGACCGAUUGAGAUUGUUCAAAGCUGAUUUGCUGAACGAAGGGAGCUUUGAUGAGGCCGUAAAGGGCUGCAAUGGUGUAUAUCAUGUUGCAGCUUCAAUGGAAUUCAACGUCAUGGCCACAGAGAAUAUUGAGGCUUACGUUCAAUCAAAUAUCAUCGACCCUGCAAUCAAAGGAACAUUGAAUCUUCUCAAAGCCUGCCUAAAAUCAGAAACUGUAGAGAGGGUUGUGUUCACAUCUUCUAUCAGCACCAUCACAGCCAAGGACAGCUUAGGAAGAUGGAGAGCUGUAGUUGAUGAAUCAUGCCAGACCCCCAUUGAUCAUGUCUGGAAGACGAGAGCGGGUGGUUGGGUUUAUGUGCUCUCAAAGCUUCUGACAGAGGAAGCUGCAUUCCAGUUUGCAAAGGAGAAGGGCAUUGAUCUUGUGUCGGUAAUAACAACUACUGUUGGUGGUCCAUUUAUCACUUCCUCUGUUCCAUCAAGCAUUCGAGUUCUCUUGUCGCCAAUAACAGGUGAACCCGAGUUUUUUUCCAUAUUAUCUGCUGUGAAUUCCAGAAUGGGGUCAUUGGCUUUAGUUCACAUAGAGGAUAUAUGCAAUGCCCAUAUAUUCUUGAUGGAGCAGGCUAAAGCAGAAGGUCGAUACAUAUGUGGUGUUCAAAGUUAUCAAAUGUCUGAAUUGAUCAAUCAUCUGGCUAAAGUGUACCCUUGCUCAAAUAUUCAAAGGUUGGUGGAGGAAGAAUGUGGUUCAGCGCCUUCUGAAAUUUGCUCUAAGAAGUUAAAUGAUUUGGGCUUCAACUACAAGUACGGCUUAGAAGACAUUAUCCAACAGACAAUUAAUUGUUGUUUAGAUCAUGGAUUUCUACCUCAGAUUAGAAGAUGAGAAGUCCCUAGUGGUUCAUAAUCAGUCAGAAGAUGGAAAUAAUAUUGAGUAUGGCUCUGCAAGAGGGCAGGCCGUCAGAUGGAUACCAGUCUAAAUCAAACGAGGAGAUAAAAAGAGGAGGAGAGAUGGGUCCCUGACCUUAUCUUCAAUGUUAGCUACUCCCACAUCAAGAGGAUGAACAAGCCCCAGAGCAAACCUGACAAUCAAAGCGUGAGAACAACAUUUACAGCACAAAAUCAAAAAACAAAAAAUUUUAUGCAAGGACAGGGAAGGAAGAGACAAAAAAUCAUCCUGGACAGAGAGCAUAUGCUGUUCAAUCCUACCUCAUUUUUGGACUACCCUCUGUUUUGUAACAUACCUAUCAAGCAAGGACCACAUUCCCUUUUCCAACCCAAUAAUACUAGUCACAAGUUAUAUUCAUUAGCUCAGAACUACUAAUAGCAAAGUAAUAUAGAAACCAUACUUAGUAGUAAUGUUCCCCUAAUCACAAUCCACCAAUGUGUAAAUCACAUGGAACCUAAGCUUGAUUUAUUUAACUAAUGGGAUUAUUCUCUUCCUACUA